UAUGCGGCGAGUCGCGUCGUGCGUGUAACUUCGCGCGUAUAUCGGCGUUUUAGCGGAAUGUUCGGAGCGCGCGCGGCGAAAAUCGCGAUGCUUUAGGCGGACGACGGCGAUGCUGGGAUCAUCAUUUAGCGAAGUUUGCGGCAGUAUCGCGAGGGUGGCUGCGAUUUCGGAUGCCGUGCCGGAGGAUCCGGCUCGGGCUGAGCGGAGUCGGCCCGAAGAUCUCGGCGUAGCUGAAUACGGUCGGCCCUGAAUUCGGUAAAUCACAGAUGGAAAAAAGCACAAGUACGAUUUCAGGCGAUGGAUUUGUCGAUGGUGGGUCUGAAUGAAAACUCUCGCCGAACUCGAUGCGAUUUCAUUUUCUCGUACUUUCACAUGCCAAUUUUUAUAUUUUAAUUAAGUAAAAUGCGCCACUCGAAAUAAUUAGAGAAUCAUGUUUUCGACUGUCAUCUGACAGAAAUGUUUCUGAGAAUAUUGAAUAUUUAAUUUCAAUAGUGCACUGAUCCCCUUUGGUAUACACAGUUACGCAAAUGCGAUAUUUCAGCUGUUUAUAUUUAUAAUUGCUCCAAACUGCAGAAUUAUUUAAACAGGAUUAUUAUUCAUUCGCUACGAUCCUCUAACCGUUUCGUGCGGUGCAUAAUGCGGCGUCAGAAUUGCGCCACUGCGAGCGAAACUCGCGGUUACUUCGCUCGCCGUUGAUUGAUUUUGCGUUCGUCACCGUCAUUAAUAUUCUAAAUUCCUCGUGCGCGCAUUCACGUUAUGAUUAUAUUUCACAGGCGGGGAUGAACUUUGUUAAAUCAAAUUCAAUGACGCGGUUGUAAGUUUCGAUAAAGUAUCGCGAAGCAGUUUAAUGUAAUCAUUUCACGCGUCUAAUCAUUAUUUUACUCGAACAGUAAUUCAAACGUGUCCAUUUCUCAUCGCGAACUUCGGCCAUAUUUUACUUCCGAAUUAUUACGUCUAGCCCGCUGACGGAACUCACGAAAAUAGCUCGCGAAAACAAUACAAGAAAUUAACAUUGAUUUGCGAACUUUUUCCGGGACAUUUAUUUAUUUAUUUUAUAGUCCCGUGAUUUAUCAUCCAUAUAUCGCGGGUCAGAGUGUCAACAAUUUAUAAGUGAUUUAAAAACACGUUUAUCUUCCUCCGAUUUUCACAUUUCCCGGGCUCGUUUAUACACGGAAAAGAAAGCUCAGCUGCAAUAGCUAAAUUAGUAACGUAUAGGCACCUAAAAGCAGCGUGAGCAAUUUUAAUAGCUGCAGGACCAAAUUUUUUGCCGCAGGAGCAAACGUACUAUCGUAUCUAUCCUUUACGACGAGUUAAAAUUGCUUAUGCUAUUAAAGUUUUUCGAUAUUCAUACGUUACAAUUAACUCAGCUACUGAA